rnacentral:rRNA from 1 species
UCUCGGCCUCCUUCCUGUGCUGUGCUAGCGCGGCGCGCGUUGGCUGUGGUGCUGAAGUGCGUGGACGUCCUGUCGGAGGUGCUCGCCUUCAUUCAAUGGUUCAAGAGCAAGACGGUGGUGGUGAAGUACGGCUGCGCGGCCAUUAAGUCGCCGGAGCUGCAGGCGUCGAUGAUACGCAACCUUGUCCACCUCUCCUGUGUCGGCCUGCGCCCCGUGCUUGUGCACGGCGGUGGUCCGGAGAUCAACUCCUAGCUGUAGCACAUCGGUGUCGAGCUGCAGUUCCGCAAAGGCCUCUGCGUGAUCGACGCUCUCACCGUUGAGGUCGUCGAGAUGGUGCUGGUCAGCAAGGUCAACAUCAACAGGCAACUCGUCUCCCUCAUCAGCCUCACCGGUGCCACCGCCGUCGGCCUCUGUGGCAAGGACGCACUCCUCACUGCGCGCCCUUCUCCUGACACUGUAGCCCUCGGGUUCGUCGGCGAGGUGACGCGCGUACACCUCUCCAUGCUCCACCCGAUCAUUGCGUCCUGCCAGAUCCUAGUCAUCGCCACCGUGGCCGCCGAUGAGACUGGGUAGGCCUACAACAUCAACGUCGACACUGCUGCGGGGGAGAUCGCAGCUGCCAUUGGCGCUGAGAAGCUGUUGCUUUUUUUUUGA